rnacentral:rRNA from 1 species
GACGUAGGGUGCGAGCGUUGUCCGGAUUUAUUGGGCGUAAAGGGCUCGUAGGCGGUUUGUCGCGUCGGGAGUGAAAACCCAGGGCUUAACCCUGGGCUGGCUUCCGAUACGGGCAGACUAGAGGUAUGCAGGGGAGAACGGAAUUCCUGGUGUAGCGGUGAAAUGCGCAGAUAUCAGGAGGAACACCGGUGGCGAAGGCGGUUCUCUGGGCAUUACCUGACGCUGAGGAGCGAAAGUGUGGGGAGCGAACAGG